rnacentral:rRNA from 1 species
UAAAAUUUAUAAAAUUAGGUAGUAAAGAAAUUUCUGAAACCUAAAGAAUUUGGCGGUAUUUUAAAUAAUUGGAGGAACCUGUUACUUAAUUGACAACCCACAACAUAUCUUACCUAAAUUUUAUUUGUAUAUCGUCGUUUUGAUAAUAUUUAAAAAUAAUAAUCGAUCUUAAUAAAUUUUUAAAAUUCAGAUCAAGGUGCAGUAUAUUUAGGCAGUAAUGGGUUACAAUAUAUAUUAUAUAUUACGAAUAUAAAAUUGGAAUUAUAUUGAAGGUGGAUUCAAAAGUAAAAUUAAAUUAAAAAGUUAAUUUGAUUAAUAAUUUAAAAUAUGC